UACGUAGGGAGCGAGCGUUGUCCGGAUUCAUUGGGCGUAAAGCGCGCGUAGGCGGCUUCGCAAGUCGGCCGUGAAAUCUCCGGGCUCAACUCGGAGGGGUCGGGCGAGACUGCGAGGCUCGAGGUGGGCAGAGAGCAGUGGAAUUCCGGGUGUAGUGGUGGAAUGCGUAGAGAUCCGGAGGAACACCAGUGGCGAAGGCGGCUGCCUGGGCCUGGCCUGACGCUGAGGCGCGAAAGCGUGGGGAGCAAUCCGG
rnacentral:rRNA from 1 species